rnacentral:lncRNA from 1 species
UUGAAAGGUGUUGACUUUUGGAAUGCCAGACUUGCUAGCUGGAUUUGGAGGAAGAUUUUGAAGCUUCUUUUUUGAGCUGUUUUUCUCUUGGGUGGAGUAGAGAUAGAGAUAGUUGGCAUAGAUUUGCACAUUCUUAGGCAUUCCUUGAUUGCAUGGAUAGACUCCCAACUAAAGAUAGUCUUAUUAAAAGAGGGAUGGGGACU